GGGCGGGGUGGGGUGGGGUGAAGAAUCGGUGGGUAACCAACCCCGCAGCCCCAGGAGCUGCGCCGACACUCGCGCCCAGUCGCAAGCCACCCGCAGCCCAGGAGGUCGUCUGGAGGACUGCAAGCCGGACUGUCAGAGGCGGGAAAGACUUCAGGCCCGGGGAUGACCCUGCUCUCGGCCUCCAACGCCUCAGUGGAUCCCAGGGCAGGCAGGCCGUCCCGCUCGCAGUGCGGGUUCUCUGAUUGCGCUGGCUCGGCUGAGGCGUCAGGGGAUCGCGCUCAGGGGGCUUCGGGGCUCGUCCAGCGGCUCUCAGCCCUGCGGGUCCCGCACUCGCCUGAGGGGCUGCAACCUGAGCCAGGACCGGCCCAUCGUGCCCGUCCGCAGUCGGCUCCUCAGCCCCGGGUCCGCGCGGCCUGGCCGGUGCUGGCCUUCGGCUUCGUGGCUCUCUCCUGCCCGGGAACGAGUCCUGAUACACGCGCGACACGGGCCAGCGGACCACACGGGAAUACUGGGCUUAUUAGGUCAGGGGAGUUUUGCCCUCUGCUCUGGAGCCACAGUGAAAACUCCUCUCAUCAGCACAUCAAGGAGGACGCCAUAUUACCAAGGCCCAGCAUGCACCGCUGUCUACGGUGUGUCCAAUAAGCCAAACCUCUUCAAGCGUUCUCACCGCUCUACCCAGGCUAGGGCGGAGAGUUCGGCGUUCCGUCCUCCCCUCCCCCACGCCGUUACCCGGGUUACCAAGUCCUUUCUCCUUAGUUGAUCUCCACUAGUAAAGUAGACGUGUUACAAAAUCAAUCCUGCGAUUGAAACCAUGUCCGUUCAGUUAUUUUUUAAAAGCUUUUUGCUACUACAAACAAAGCUGCGUGCCUUGAUAUUAAAGGAAAAAAAAAA
rnacentral:lncRNA from 1 species